AUUGAACGCUGGCGGCAUGCUUUACACAUGCAAGUCGAACGGUAACAGGCCGCAAGGUGCUGACGAGUGGCGAACGGGUGAGUAAUGCAUCGGAACGUGCCCAGUCGUGGGGGAUAACGCAGCGAAAGCUGCGCUAAUACCGCAUACGAUCUAUGGAUGAAAGCGGGGGACCGUAAGGCCUCGCGCGAUUGGAGCGGCCGAUGUCAGAUUAGGUAGUUGGUGGGGUAAAGGCUCACCACGCCAACGAUCUGUAGCUGGUCUGAGAGGACGACCAGCCACACUGGGACUGAGACACGGCCCAGACUCCUACGGGAGGCAGCAGUGGGGAAUUUUGGACAAUGGGCGCAAGCCUGAUCCAGCAAUGCCGCGUGCAGGAAGAAGGCCUUCGGGUUGUAAACUGCUUUUGUACGGAACGAAACGGCUCUGGUUAAUACCUGGGGCUAAUGACGGUACCGUAAGAAUAAGCACCGGCUAACUACGUGCCAGCAGCCGCCGUAAAAC
rnacentral:rRNA from 1 species